UAACUUUGGAUGUUGUAAGCUCAAUCAUUGCUAAAUUGCUGCUGGCAAAGCGUUAAGGGUGUGGAUAGUAGGGCAUUCCUACGUUUACUGCGCACAGGCUAGGGCGGCAGCAUCGGCGCAGGGAGUAAAUUUGGGGCUAUCGCACAAGGAAGUUAGCAUUAGAUGGUUAGGAAAAAGAGGCAUGAUGUGGGAUGAGUUAGUGCCAACAAUACAGCAGGCAAGGAGAAGAUGGGGGUGUCCGGACGCCAUAAUUAUACAUCUGGGGGGGAACGACAUAGGUGCUUACCCACUCAGAGAGCUAGAAGAGAAAGUUGCAGAAGCAAUGAGAUGGUUGAAGAUGGCAUGGCCAUCAGUCAGGGCGAUAUGGUCCAAUAUAGUUUCAAGGAUAUACUGGCGGAACUCGUACACGAGCAAAGCAGGAUAUAGAUCAAGGAGAAAAGUGAACCAGGUAGCAGCAAAGGUUAUGAAGGAAAUAGGGGGUAGAGUGGUGGAGCACCCACUGAUAGCAGCGAAAAAGGAGGAGCUAUUCCGACGGGAUGGAGUGCACCUAACGGAUGAGGGGAAUGACCAGCUGCUGGUGGACAUCAGAGGGAUGUGCCAAGAGUUGGUAAAGGUAAGGAAAGGUCACGAAUGGUGGAAAGAGUUUGGCCGAAAGAGGGGCUCUUUUUGGUGGCGGUGAAGUUUGUGCACGACACGUGGGCGGGGCAGAAGGGGAGGUGGGAGGAUCCCGCGGCAUACCCAGCCCUGAGGGGUGAUCCGGUGGUCUAUCUAGGGGGAGGGCUGUGCCGUGGGUUCUCCUUUCUCCAAGCUGCCCUGCCAGGGGGGGGUAGUUGUUACACCCCCCUAGGCGUGGUUCCCAAAAUUCUGGUUUUAAUGCAUGGGCAUUAUUUGGUGUUUAUUUUGAGUUGAUUUAUGGCUGAAUUUUGCAAGAUAUAGUUUAAAGGUGGCAAAAUUCAAUUAAGUAAUAAAAUCGUGACCUUUCCACAUUUCGCCAUAA